UGCUGGGAUUACAGGCGUGAGCCACCGCGCCUGGCUUAUUUUCUUGCAAACAAAACUGAAAAUAUCAGUUCAUAAUGUGUUUCCAUAUACUUUGCCCUUAUUCAAAUGGUUAUGAACAAGUGGCCUUCCAUUUUCUAUUGCCACUGUAAUUAUUUGUUCCUGAUCUGACAACACCUUCUUCAGCUCCUUUCUCUGGCCACCGAGAUUAACAGUCCCACAAGCAGUCUUUUGAUUCACUAAGUGGCUUAAUAGGGCAAGGUUGAUUUGAGCCAAUACUUCUGGAAUGUUCAUUUCGAUUUGUAACAGAAGUUUUUUUCUGAAUUCAUCCCCACAAGGUGAGCUGGAAAACUGCAACCAUAACCAAAGCUAGAAAAUACUGGAAGUAGCCAAUAUUUCUUUUCAUCACCAAAGACUUGUCUCCAAUUUUUACUAUUGUUCUAUUUUUUCCAGCCAGCCAAUAGUAGUAGCUGAAAAGCGAGAGGACACUGAUGAAGAACUUUGCAGGCCCAAAGAAAAGGAAAAGUAUGUGGAGCUUUGCUGUGUAUCUGUCAGUUCAUCCUACUCCACUAGGACAUGGCGUUCUCAAGACUUGAUGUCCUCCAGGCCCCCAGCUGAGGGCAGCGAGCACCCUGAGAGCCAGCUGGACUUACCUCUUGGUGUGUAACUACACAGUCACCGCAUCUGGGUGGGGAGUUGUCCUGCACUUCUGGAAUCAUCUUCCUUGGUCAUGGUGGCUACUGCUGUACUGUCCUUCUGAGGUCGGUGAGAUAGGGUAUUCACAGCCUCCCUUGAAAGGAAACAAGAGACUUGUCAGGUUGAUGGAGAGAACAAGCUGUUCGACAGUGCACAAACCAUAUCCUGGGCUUGUGGUUAGAACAUCCUACAGCAAGGAGGUAGAAGAGGCAAGGGAAACAUCCCCAAAUCUAAGCAAGCACAGAAACCCAUGAUUAGCAUCCUUGGGCUGACCUAUGCUCAUUAUCAUAGUAGAAAACAUACGCCUGAGUGGGAAGUGAAGAUGCUAAUGAGACAUGAGAUGUAUGUGCUGGUAUGUACAACCACAGUGCACGCACGUCCAAGAGAGCACAGAACAUGCUUAAAACAAUACCCCUUCCCACCUAUUCAUGAAUAAUCAUGUAAGACUCCUGUGAGGGAAGGGUACUGUCUCACUUUUGAGCAGCCUGCUCUGAUCAGCUGUCAGAGUAUACUUUCACUUUGCAAUAAAUUCUCCUGCUGACUUUUACUUUGGACUUGCUCUCAAAUUCUUUUGUGUGGCAAGUCCAGAGCACGCACCGGCCCAUCGGCUACAUAUCCUACCUUUUUUCUUUCUUUCUGUAUCUUGUUGCUAGGGAUAACUUUGCCCUUGCUGGCAGCAUGCCCCUGAGGAUGGUGUGCUGUGGCAGGUGUCCUCCUCGGCUUGGCCUUAGGUCACUAAGCAUAGCCCAUGGUAGGAGGUUCUGAGAAUGAGUGGAACUGCCUCAUGCAAUGGUCCCCAUGGGAGUGGCCCACAGUUGCUUGCAUCUGUGGCAUUUUCACAACUGUUUAAAAAGACUCAAGAAUGUACUGUGGGAGGAGAGCAGGUCUGGGGCCUCACCUGUGUCCCCCACCUGCUCAUCUGCAUGGCCGUGCGCUUGAUGUGGUCAGAAGUGAGAAAUGCUGCUGCCCCUUUGCAAAGCACUACUUAGUUUUUCUCUUCUUAAGGGUGGUGGCACGAUGCCCAGGUUGAGAUGGACGCAGGAGUCGGCAUCCUAAAGUAAAAGGAGAGACUUUAAUAGAAAUACCUGAGCUUUUCAAUGCGCACGAACAGGGCCUUUUACCCUCUGGCAACCAUGUGUUUCUCAUUGAGAUGUUUCUUGUCCUCAGAGUGAUUUUUCCUUUUUGCAGGUGGUUUAUCAAAACAGGAAAGGACAAAAAAGAAAAAGCAGGAGAAGAAAAAGUAUGGGGAGCUGGGACCCUGGCCCUGAGCAGGUGACAUACAAAAUGCUUCUGGGGAGGCUGCCGCCAUCUGGGGCACUGGCACAUGGGGCACGGCAGGGCCCGCCUUCCUGAUGAUGCCGCCUGUCCCAGUUGCUCGCCGGAAGUUGCAGUGCCCAGAUCAGUUUUGUAUUGAUGAGAAUUUAAAAAAAAUAUUAUAUUACAUAAUUUUAUGCUUUUUGAAAAUAAGUAAUAAACUUUUCUGGCUAAGUUGUUAGUAAUGGUAAUCUCUCUAAUGUGCUUAAAGACAGUCAAAUCUACAGGGUUCCCAUCUUCACUGGAUGUCCGUGCUUCCUGCUUGGUCUGUUUUCAGGUGUCUUUGCCUGUUUGUUGCCCCUAUGACUGCUGACAUCCUGCCUUUUGGUGGAAACCACACCCUUCCUUGCCCAUUGAGGGUUGGAAAAUUGGAUGACUAAACUCAAUGAAGAUAGAAGGUAACACUUGUUCUACACGGGUGCCUUCAUCACCUGCACUUGAAAGCAAGGCUGAGGUGCAGAAGGCACAAAAUGUGGCCAUGUCCCUUGGCUGGCAAGUGGCCCAUGAGCAAUGUGAGCCUGAGUGGAUGACACUGUGACACAGUUCAGGGUGCAUCACAAUGUUGCUCUUUGUGACUGCAGGGCCAAAAGGAACCAGGGCUGAGAGGAACCUGGAGACAUGCUGGGGUGGGGCCAGAUGAGGGCCUGGAGAGAGCCUCCACCCACCGUCACAGGGCCGGGGGAGACAGAUUGAGGAGAGGCACCUGCCCCUCUCUCUUUGCAGAGUGGAAUGACAGCUGAUGACAUCAUUGUGAAAGCCACAGUACUACAGAGAUGUUUGGACAUUCAUCAGAGGCAGGCCUGUUGUGGGAAAGUCAGGGCUCUGGUGAGGAAACCUGAGAUUCUGCAAACUGGAACCGGGUUAUCCUAUGGGUGCCCUUUCGAACCCUCUGGGCAUGCAGAGGAGGCUCGCUCUUCUCUGGUAAUAGUUCCCACUUCCUACACUGGAAUAUGCUGCAGAAGCCUCACCCCUAUGAUGCAAUGGGAAUCCCACCCAGUAGUUUUGCAGUAACUAGCGGGUAGGUAUGCCCCCGUAGGAGCCUGAGGAGCAGUUCUGGGAUUGGAAUUUGAGGGUGUUUGAUCAAAGGGCCAGAAUCAAGCUGGAUAAAUAAAAAACACCUUUGGCUUGGGAGCACUUUCUCAGGGUAUGGGUUUAUCAAGGACCUCAGGGCAUGGGGCAAACCCACUGCUAGGGUGGACCCAUGUAGACUGGAAAAAAUGAUGCUCAACUCUCAGUAAGUUAGACAUGACUUAGUUGUAGGAACAUGUAGUGGAUGGAUAAAGAGGCCGGGGGAAGUUGGUGUGUGGGAUGGAGACAUCAUGUGAGACCAGAAGGCCCACUAGGGCCAUGCUCCACAGAGGACCCAGAGGGCACACCUUCCACCAGAGCCUCAGGAAUGUACCGGUAAGAGGGACCUGUAUUCCUAAGAGGCGUCAGGGUGGUGUCCUCUGCAGGCUGGGUGUGAUGGCAGGAAGGAGGUCCUUAGUUGGGCUCAUUGAUAUUCCUGGGGAAAACGUGGCCCUGAAAAGAUUGAGAACCAAAUGGUGGCAGUGACCUGCAAAAGCCAGAGGGCACGGUUACCAUGACAAUCUCAGAGGAGCAUCUGAGGCAGCUUGAUCUGCAGGGAGUUGUGGGGAAGGUUAAUAGAGGGUGGUGUCAGAAUAGACAGGCAGCCAACAAGGGUGCUGCUUGAUGUCCAUGAUAAGAAAGCAAGAAUUGAUGAGCAGGAGGCUGAGGGUGUUUAACUCAAUACAAAGUCAUGAUCCCACUCUCAAUUCCUAAACUUCAACCAAGUUUCAGAUUCAGAUCCCAGUUCUAGAGGAGUCCCUACCCCAGGAGGAAGGACCCUGGAACCUCAUGGCAAGUAUAUGCUGGAACAAUUCCUUCUGUCUUUCUGCCAAGGAGUCUACGGCCAUUUACUCGGGGGACUGUACACUGCGAAAGGGAAACAGGCAGAAUUUGGGGGAGUAUUGACACUGGGUGUGAGCUGAUAUUGAUGCCUAUAGGCCUACAGCACCAUCAUGUCCCCAUCACAGUGGGACUUACAGAAGCCGGGAAUAAACCUGGACACAUCACAGUGGAACCACUGGGUCCACAGACCCAGCCCUGUUUAUCUCCCCAUUCCCCAAGUGUUUAAUUGGUAUUGAUGCACUGGCAGCUAGAGUAACCCCCACACUGGGUCCAAAGUCUCUGGAAUAAGGGGUCUCAUUGUCUGAAAGCCAAAGGGAAAUCUCUGCAACUGACUUCAUUCUGGCCAAAUAAAAAAUGAUAUUGAGUCCCAGGGUGGGUCUUAUGAAAGGUACUGUAGUUAUUGUAGGUGUAGCACCUCCAUUAGAGAGCUGAAGGAUGAGGGGUGGUGUUGGGGUUGCCUCUUAUUUUCACGUGACCCAGCAAUCUGUCCCCAAAGAAGCCUGAUGGGGCCUAAAGAAUGAAUGGGAUUACUUCAGACUUGACAGAGUAGGAGUCAUAAUUGCAGCUGCCAUGCUGGCUGGAUAUCACUGGUAGAGCAGAUUGAUAAGGCCUCAGGCACACAGUGUGCAGCUGUGGAUUUGGUCAGUGUGUUCCUUUCCACUCCAAUGAGAAAAACUGUAAAUGAAGUGAUUCAUGUGGGAUCCACAACAUGUUUCUUUAUAGUUGACCUCAGGGUUAUUGUCACUGACCUGCCCUCUAUAGUAGAGUCUUCAGAGAUCUGAAGAACCCGGCAUCCUAUAGAAUAGUGAAUCAGCUCAUUUCAUCAACAACAUCAGGUUGACUAGGAUGGAUGAGUAGGAGGUGGAAAGUAUGCUGAAGGCCUUGGCAAAUAACGUGCUCUUCAGAAGAUGGAAGAUAAACCAUACAGAGAUUCAGGAGUCGCCACUGUGGUGAAGUUUUAUUUGUCCGGUGGUUGAGGACAUCCAGGAGUUUCUCCUCCAGAGUAAAAGACAAACUGUUGCAUCUUGCAUCCUCACGACAAAGAAGGAAGCACACUGCCUGGUGAACAUCUUUGAGUUCUGACAACACCGCAUCCCACAUCUAUUGCUUUGGCCCAUACUCUAGGAGAAAUAGGAGGGGACUUACUUCAAUUGGGCCUACUGAGGAAAGGACACUGUGGCAGAUUCAGGCCAUGAGGCAGCACCAUCCCUCAGACCCACCUGGAGGUGUCAGUGGUGGGGAAAGAUGCAGGAUGGAGUUGAAACAAGCAACAGUGGGGAAGUCACAUAGAGGGCCUGGGAUUCUGGAGUAAGGCCGUGCCAUCCACAGCAGAGCCGUAUGCCCCUGUUAGAAGCAACUUUUGGCAUGUUACUGGCCCUGAUAAGAGAAUACUUGCCAUGGGACAUCAAACAACCAUGUGAUUUCAAAUGCCCAUAUGAGUUGGCUUCUGUAACUCAGGAAGUCAUAGAUUGGACAGACCCCAAAGCAUUCAUCAUGAGAUGGAAAUGGUCCAUCUGGGUUGAGCAUGAAUCCUAUGUUGACACCUCCAGAAAAUACCCGAACCUGAAGUGGCACUAAACAACCAAGCAGACAAAUUGAAGUUAGCCAGCCCUCAGCAUGGGUCAGGUCAGCCCAGGCCUGGCAGAAUCGGUGCAUCAGUGGAGCAACCACAGCGGCAGGGAUGAGGCUAAAUAUGGGUCCAGAAGCACUGACUGCCACCUUCCAAGACAGAUCCAGCUGCUGCCACCUCUGAAUGUCCAACUCAUUAGCAUUUGAGGCCAAUGAUGUGCCUCAGUGGGGCUACAUUUCUUUAGGUGACUAACUCGCUGAUAAGUGAUGAGUUGACUACAUUGAGCCACUUCCAUCCUGGAAGGGCCAGAGGUUCAUCUUCACAGGGUUAGGCACCAUUCCAUGAGUGGGUUUUCCUGUCCUGCUCUCAGACCCUCAGUCAGCACCAUUCUCUGGGGACUGUUGAUGUUCCUGAUCCACAGGCUUGACAUUGCUCUUAGCACACUGUCUUCCUGGGGGAACCCACUUGACAAGGAAGUAGGUGCAGCAUUUUCACGGCCAUGGGAUCCACUGGUUCUAUCAUCAUCUGUACCACCAAGGGUCUGCCAGCCACAAAGAAUGCCGGACAGGUCUUCUACAGGCACAACUCAGUGCCAGUCUGGAGGAAGCACUUUGAGGGCUGGGUGCUGUCUUUCAGGACAUGGUGCAUUUAUUAAAUCAGAGACAUGUCUACAGUGCUGUGUUCUCAGUAGGAAGAACAUGUGGGUCAAGAAACCAAGGAGUGGAAGUGAGUAUGGCUCCAUGUCUCAUUCCUUAGAUUCACCUGCUGUGGGAUUUUGCACUUCUCAUCUCCCAAACCUGUGCUCUGCAGGGUAGAAGGUCCUGGAUUCUAAAGGAGGGUACUCUUCAAUCAGGACAAAUGAGAGCCCACUGAACAGCACAUUACUAUUGCCCGCAGGGAGAUUUGGACAGUAUGUGCCCAGAGACUAGCAAGUGAGGAGUCCCCUCCUCUCCAGGCACAGGUCAACAAAAAUUAAUUUAGUGCCUAUGCUGAACCAGGUAUGCCCUCAUAUGCUCAAGUGCCUGACAUUCUAGAUGCUUCACAAGACCAAAGUGGAGCCACUGGAGUGUUUUAGGUUUAAAAAACUACUAGGUGUUCCAAUAAAAUAUGCACACCACUUAGAUGCAGAUACCUCCUAAAAACAGGAAGUGCAUGAGCACUGGUGAGGGGCAUUGUGACUGCGUUGAACACUUGCAACUUUGAGGUGAAUGAAUGCACUGGUUCCUGGUUGCAACAUACAAUAACACAUUGUGCUACUUUGUAUUGAGGAGAUGUCCUGGACUCACACAGAAACUCAGGGCUAUAGAAUGAAGCUACGACUUUUCCAGAGAAGGAGGAGGAGGAGGACGACG
rnacentral:lncRNA from 1 species